UAGACUCCAGCCAUGCAAAGUUCCUA
rnacentral:piRNA from 1 species